rnacentral:rRNA from 1 species
CGAACGGAUGUUUUCGGACAUUAGUGGCGGACGGGUGAGUAACGCGUGAGGAUCUGCCCUCAGGAUGGGGACAACAGUUGGAAACGACUGCUAAUACCCGAUGUGCCGAAAGGUGAAACUAUUUGGCCUGAGGAUGAGCUCGCGUCUGAUUAGCUAGUUGGAGUGGUAAUGGCACACCAAGGCGACGAUCAGUAGCUGGUCUGAGAGGAUGAUCAGCCACACUGGGACUGAGGCACGGCCCAGACUCCUACGGGAGGCAGCAGUGGGGAAUUUUCCGCAAUGGGCGAAAGCCUGACGGAGCAAGACCGCGUGGGGGACGAAGGUUUGUGGAUUGUAAACCCCUUUUGAUUGGGAAGAAGUUCUGACGGUACCAAUCGAAUCAGCAUCGGCUAACUCCGUGCCAGCAGCCGCGGUAAUACGGAGGAUGCAAGCGUUAUCCGGAAUUAUUGGGCGUAAAGCGUCCGUAGGUGGUUGGUCAAGUCAGUUGUUAAAGCGUGGGGCUUAACCCCAUAAAGGCAAAUGAAACUGGUCAGCUAGAGUGCGAUAGGGGCAAGGGGAAUUUCCAGUGUAGCGGUGAAAUGCGUAGAUAUUGGAAAGAACACCGGUGGCGAAAGCGCCUUGCUGGGUCUGCACUGACACUGAGGGACGAAAGCUAGGGGAGCGAAAGGGAUUAGAUACCCCUGUAGUCCUAGCCGUAAACGAUGGAUACUAGGCGUUGUCCGUAUCGACCCGAGCCGUGCCGAAGC